GGAGAGAUGUCAGAGUCUGGUUUAUCGUGUCUGCCUUGAAAGCAGAUGUGUGUUAAUAGCACACCGUGGGUUCAAAUCCUACUCUCUCCG
rnacentral:tRNA from 1 species